rnacentral:rRNA from 1 species
CGCUGGCGGCGUGCCUAACACAUGCAAGUCGAGCGAAUGAAAUUCCUUCGGGAACGGAUUUAGCGGCGGACGGGUGAGUAACACGUGGGCAACCUGCCUCAUAGAGGGAAUAGCCUUCCGAAAGGGAGAUUAAUACCGCAUAAGAUUGUAGUACCGCAUGGUACAGCAAUUAAAGGAGCAAUCCGCUAUGAGAUGGGCCCGCGGCGCAUUAGCUAGUUGGUGAGGUAACGGCUCACCAAGGCGACGAUGCGUAGCCGACCUGAGAGGGUGAUCGGCCACAUUGGGACUGAGACACGGCCCAGACUCCUACGGGAGGCAGCAGUGGGGAAUAUUGCACAAUGGGGGAAACCCUGAUGCAGCAACGCCGCGUGAGUGAUGACGGCCUUCGGGUUGUAAAGCUCUGUCUUCAGGGACGAUAAUGACGGUACCUGAGGAGGAAGCCACGGCUAACUACGUG